CCCAGGAGAACCACCGCUGUGACUACUGCAACCCUCCCCCCAGAGAAGAGCAGGUGAGAGUCCCAGGGGAACCACCCAGCAGCCACAGUGCAGAAGCCGCAGGGAGCUGCAGCGACCCGCCCACAGGCCCCACUGUCAGCCGUCUACGCCUGAGCAGAUCCAGCAUGGACCCAGAGACCCGAGACCCAGGGACAUAUCACUCCCCAAGCCGAGGUCCGACAGAGCCCAGGGUUCUAGUCCACAACAAGCAGCCACCGGGAGUGAGCCGGCACACACCAAAGCACCCAGCCUCGGACACUGAGAUUGUUUUUAUAUUUUUUUAUUUUUUUUUAUUUCCCCCCCAUGAAGCCGUCUCUCAACAUCAAGUCAAAGCUUAACGAAGUAAAGGCCGCACCUCAGUGUAUAUUAGAUGAACUUCUAGCAGCAUUUUGGGCGUUUACAGUUGACCAUUAUAAUUUCACAGUGACAGUCGAUUAACCAAUGACCAUCACUGAUUGAUGAUGUCAAGUUCAACAGAACAGGUUUUUGUUUUUCUGUCACACAAUAAAAAGUAUUUUGAUAGAAUUUUCCCUUUUUAAUAAUUUCUAUAAACCCUCCAAAUGUUUUGAAAACUUGCUAAAUUUUAACAACCGACCCAAAGCUAUUUUUUUUUCAGGCCAACGUGUUCAAAAGAAGCCUGACUGAGAGGAAACCAGUGGAUUGCAUUGCACAGCAAUACACAGUUUACCCCAAUCCCAUAAAGAAAACACUAAUAACAACAAUAAACAUGUCGGAGCAUAAUGUGUACCCAUGAUGAUGCCCCCUUCACAUUUCUGCCUGCUGCCUCAUAUAUGCAUCCCUAGAACCGGCCCUGUUCCAAACUACAAUGGAUGAUUAGGUCAGCAGACACAUUCAUUCAGGCUGACCUCCCUCCAUCCAGGACGCCAACCUGCUAUUCUUCUUUUUUUUUCUUCUUUAUAUAAUACAAAAAAGUGACUGUACAUACAUAUACAUACUUUUCAUUUUAUCCUUAUUCCUUAUUUUAUUUCCUUUAAAGUUUCUAGAUUUAUACUACUAAUCUCAGUACACUGUGAGUGUCGGGGUUGGAGUUUCUGUUGUCUGUUUUUGUCUGUUUUUUGACUCCUAGUAGGCGCUAGUGGUGGAGACAGGUGUUUUCCAUCUUGGUGAUUGAGUCCUGGAGUACUUAAGCAGGAAGCAGCCAGCAUCUCGUCGCUCGAGUAUUAGCCUCUGUGUGAACUGAACCGGCGACUACCUGGAGGUUACCUAGGCUGGCCCCAGUGGCUUCGUUUCGCACUAGCCUCGCUCCUUGGAUCUCCCCAGGAAGGAUCUUCCACACACACCUACCCGACGCCAAACUCUGGAACUUCCCAGGCUUGCUGCUUCCGGACCCGGAUUCUCCAGAGACCAUUCAACCUAACAUGUCCACCCUCCACCUCUCCGCUGAUGCUUCGCCCGCACUCCAAGCUCUCACCCAAGUAACUAAGAAAUCAUCGGACUUACCAUUGACUCCAUAUUCACUCCUUCUCCAGUUUGAAUCCCUCUCCUUCUGGCGGAUGGCCUACUCCCUCCUAUUGUUCCUGCACACCAUACCGAUCCAUUCUCCUUAAAUAAACCUU